rnacentral:rRNA from 1 species
ACUCCUACGGGAGGCAGCAGUGGGGAAUAUUGGACAAUGGGCGAAAGCCUGAUCCAGCAAUGCCGCGUGUGUGAAGAAGGCCUGAGGGUUGUAAAGCACUUUCAGUGAGGAGGAAAAGCUCAUCGCUAAUAUCGAUGAGUCUUGACGUUACUCACAGAAGAAGCACCGGCUAACUCCGUGCCAGCAGCCGCGGUAAUACGGAGGGUGCGAGCGUUAAUCGGAAUUACUGGGCGUAAAGCGCGCGUAGGCGGUAAGUUAAGUUAGCUGUGAAAGCCCCGGGCUUAACCUGGGAAUUGCAGUUAAUACUGGCUCACUAGAGUCUGGUAGAGGGUAGUGGAAUUCCGGGUGUAGCGGUGAAAUGCGUAGAUAUCCGGAGGAACACCAGUGGCGAAGGCGACUACCUGGACCAAGACUGACGCUGAGGUGCGAAAGCGUGGGGAGCAAACAGGAUUAGAUACCCCAGUAGUCC